UUCAGAUUGCAGGCUGCAACUCGCCUGCAUGAAGUUGGAAUUGCUAGUAAUCGCGAAUCAGAACGUCGCGGUGAAUACGUUCCCGGGCCUUGUACACACCGCCCGUCACACCAUGAGAGUCGAUAACACCCGAAGCCUGUGAGCUAACCGUAAGGAGGCAGCAGUCGAAGGUGGGGUUGAUGAUUGGGGUGAAGUCGUAACAAGGUACC
rnacentral:rRNA from 1 species